AAAUUCAAAGAACGUGCCAUCUGAGGAUGGAAAUGAUGAGCAUGUGGCCGAGCCGAAGACCAAGUCAAAACGCAAGCAGGCAUCAACUGCACAAAGUGCCAGCAAAAGUAUUUUGCAGAAGUACAAAAAUGCACAAUUGGAUAUUGACAACUCUGCCAUAACUGCAACUGAGACCCCAUCUGGCUCAACUGAGACUCCUUGUGGCAAAAGAUGUGCUGAAGCAGUACGACAAAUGCAGGCAAUGGUGAAUGAAAUGAGAGGCAUCAGACAAGAGAUUCUGGGCAUAAGAGCAGAGAUGCUGGUGAGAUCGGCAGCGCCCUCAGUGGAGCAGGCACGAAGGUGUCAACCGCCUAUUGCGGCCAAUACGGCCAAACCAUCAACACCAUUGGAUGUAACCAAUGAAGAUGAAUCUGCCUCAAAUGAUUCUGUGAUCAUCUCUCAAUCUGUGAAAUCGAGAUCUUCACGGACCUCGGCACAAAAAUUUGUGAAUGACCUCAUGCACGGGAUUUACUCAACGGAAUAU